GAUCAAAGGAACUAUCAUUGAGACUGCUAGGGAAUAUAUCCACCACAAGAUGCCAACCAAGAGAGCUGUUUGGCUAACUGCGAAGACCUUGCUGAUUUUGGAGAGGCAACGAGUGGCCAAGGCCAAAGGCGAGCUGGACGAGGCCAGGUGGUUGUAUGCAGUUUUCCAACGCAAGGCAUGGAUUGACAAGAACAAUGCCCACUGCACCAGUCUCAAAGAAGCUUUCAGAAAUGGCUGAACCCAAGAACUAUUUGCCACAGUGAAGCAGAUGAAAACUUCCUUUUCAGCCUGUCAGUCAGUCAUCAAAGAUUGCAAUGGCAAUGAGCUGAUUGAUCAGCAAGACAUAAAGGAGAGAUAGCAAAAAUACACUGAAAACUUGUAUACCUCCGUUGAUGACCCACAGAACAAAGAUCAGACAGACAGGGCAUCGGGAGCCAGAUCUUCUGGAGAGUGAAGUGGAGUGGGCAAUGAGACAGCUACCAAGCAACAUGGCACCAAACAUCGACGAGAUCCCUACUGAACUGCAGAUCAAUUCCUGGCGCUGCCUUGACGAUCCUUUGCCAGCAGAUUUGGAAAUCCUACAUGUAGUCUGCUGACUGGAGGCAGUCAGUUUUCAUUCCCAUAUCAAAAAAGGGAGGUACAAAGAACUGCACCAACUAUCGAACCAUUGCC
rnacentral:lncRNA from 1 species